UUUUUUUUUUUUAACUCAGAACAGCCAGAAGGAAGAGAUGCAUAGGGCAGGGUAUGUGUGAAAGCUCGAGACGUUUCCGUGUCCUCUACAAGGGCGCCACUCUCCCUGCAUCUCCACGUGUUCACUAACCCAGAAGCAAUGUCACGCUGAAGCAUACAUCAAAGAAAUACAUCCCUUCAAAAAUACGGGCCUAUCAGAGUUCCCAUCGUGGCUCAGUGGUUAACAAAUCCAACUAGGAACCAUGAGGUUUCGGGUUUGAUCCCUGGCCUCGCUCAGUGGGUUAAGGAUCUGGAGUUGCCGUGAGCUGUGGUGUAGGUCACAGACGUGGCUUGGAUCCCAAGUUGCUGUGGCCCUGGUGUAGGCCAGCAGUUAUAGCUCCGAUUCGACCCCUAGCCUCGAAACCUCCAUGUGCCACAGGUGCGGCCCUAGAAAAUACAAAAAGACCAAAAAAAAAAAAAAAAAAAAAAAAAAGGGCCUAUUUGAACCAGAGGACGUGGUCAGGAAUCUCCACAGCAGCAUUAUUCACAAUAAACCAAAAUGCAAACAUUUCAAUAGUAGUAGAAAACCCACAUAUUUGAACAAUGGAAGGCUAUGGAAAAACUACCAUCUUUGUUCAGCUUGCAAGCUGAGAAUGCGUUUUCCAUUUUUAAAGGAUUAUAAAACAAAAAUAAAGGAGUUCCCAUCAUGGCUUAGUGAUUAACAAACCCGACUAGCAUCCAUGAGGACAACGGUUCGAUCCCUGGUCUCACUCAUUGGGUGAAGGAUCCUAGUUGCUGUGAACUGUGGUGUAAGCCGGUGGCUACAGCUCCAAUUCCACUCCCAGUCUGGGAAGCUCCAUAUGCUCGGGUGCAGCCCUAAAAUCACAAAUAAGACCAAAAAAAAAAAAAAAAGCAUAUGUGAGAGAACGUCUGUGGUUUGCAAAUCCUAAAAUAUUGACAGUGUGGAUGUUUACAUAACACAUUCACCCAACCAUUGUCACAGAGGGGAAAAAGAAAAGAAACCUAUCUGCAAAAAAGAUGAAUGAUUUUUGCAAAUAUUGAGCCUAACAGAAAAGAAUGCAGGUGCAUAAUUACACUGAUAUACCACUGAAAACAGGCAAAACCAAAACUAUAACAAUUAGGGAUGAUUAACUAUAACACCACCAAGGAAAGCCUGAAAGUGCUUGCACGCAGACAGGAUGUUAUCUGCCUUUAGGUGUGAGGAAGUAAUAUAACUGGCAAGAGGCUCACAGAACCCCACUGGGGUGCUGGCAGUGUUCUGUUUCUUGGCCUAGGUAAUAUCUACAUAUAUGCGUAUGUUUCUGUUACACCCACUAACUUGUAGAUCUUCCACUAACAAAGAAAUGGAAGAGCUUAAAAACACUAAAAGCCUGUUAUCUGAAAAGACCAACAAUAUAGAUAUAUUUGGAGUCAAAAGAGAAAGUGCAAAUAAAGAAUAUAAGGAACUAAUAGGAGCUAUAACUCAGAUAAAAAUUCAGAUUUUGUGGGGGGGGGAGGAGUUCCCUGGUGGUCUAGAGGGUAGGAUUCAGCGCUUUCACUGCUGUGGCCUGGGCUCAAUCCCUGGUCUGGGAAUUGAGACCCCACAUCAAACCGCUGCACACCUUGGCCAUAAAUGAAUGAAUGAAUGAAUGAAAUCAAUAUCACUUGUCCAGAAACAGAAAACGACCAUGAAAAUAAAUACAGUAAAAAUGAGGGAGCUCUUGCUGUGGUGCGGCAGGUUAAAGAUCGGUGUUGUCUCUGUGGUGGCACAGGUUCGAUGCCUGGCCCGGAAAUCCCCACAUGGCUGUGGGUGUGGUAAAAAGAAAAAAAAUAGAUACAACAAAAAUGAAGUGUAUUAUUUUUAAAAAAUAUAGAUUUGUUUGGUCUGAAAGAAUACUACGAACAUCUUCAUAUCAUUAAAUUUGAAAUCUUAGAUUUGCACCCCCCCAGACAUGUCAAUGCCGGACAACAGAGCAGGUGAAUUUAUGAGUAGGCAACAAGACAAAGAUGACCACUGUCGACCCACUUUUCAACUUUGUACUGCAGAGCUGAGCCAAUGCACUGAAAUGAGAAUGGGUUACAAACACUAGAAAGGAGGACAGGAGUUCCUGUGGUGGCUCAGUGGUUAAUGACUCCAACUAGGAACCAUGAGGUCCUACUGUAGGGCACAGGGACCUAUAUUCAAUAGCCUGUGAUAAACCAUAAUUGAAAAGAAUAUGAAAAUCAAUGUAUAUGUGUAUAGUUGAAUCACUUUACUGUACAGCNNNNNNNNNNNNNNNNNNNNNNNNNNNNNNNNNNNNNNNNNNNNNNNNNNNNNNNNNNNNNNNNNNNNNNNNNNNNNNNAAAAAAAAAAAAAAAACACGAAAAACCAAAUGGUUUUGAACUACUGCCCUGGCCUGUACUGCCUUCAGUCCCAGCAGCCGAAGCUGAAACCUCAAAACCCCAGCCAGGGGUCCUACUUGUCCAAAGCUUUGGCCCUGACAAACCUCUCGGUACCGCAGACACUGACACACUUCCUCAUUAAUCAGAAAUCUGGGUCACACACUCUCACGUGAUGACCCCGGCUCAAUACCAUUAAGCCCCAAAUCAAUCCCCAACCUGAACCAGACACUACGAUGAACGUCACCGCCACCUGACGCCCUGCAAGCGGAGUGAUCUGCAGACGCCCAUACGCUGACACCUGUGAAAAGGCCACUGAUCUCUUCAGAAUCUCAAUUGUACUGACGCCCAGGACACCCCCAAACCCAACCACAGACAAAACCCGCGUCUGGUUCCCCUCAAAUCAGGUUCGCACCUGGUUCCCUUUAAAUACAUACAUUCACCUCAGUAUUUCUAACCUCCCCUUCUGCUCCCCAAAUCCCGUUAAGUCCAGACUCCACCAAGUCCACUCGUCACCCUGGGCGAAACAAAACCACACUGGUGAUUUAGAAAAAAGAAGAAGAAGAAAGAAAGAAAAAGAAAAUCCCAGGGACAAAACCACACAAACCUGAUUUUUCCCAGACCGACCAGAAGCCUAAACGUCGUACUUCCGUGAACUGCUACGACUGGUC
ensembl:lncRNA